AGAUUGAACGCUGGCGGCAGGCCUAACACAUGCAAGUCGAGCGGUAGAGAGGUGCUUGCAUCUCUUGAGAGCGGCGGACGGGUGAGUAAUGCCUAGGAAUCUGCCUAGUGGUGGGGGAUAACGUUCGGAAACGGACGCUAAUACCGCAUACGUCCUACGGGAGAAAG
rnacentral:rRNA from 1 species